CCUACGGGCGGCUGCAGUGGGGAAUAUUGGGCAAUGGGCGCAAGCCUGACCCAGCAACGCCGCGUGAAGGAAGAAGGCUUUCGGGUUGUAAACUUCUUUUCUCAGGGACGAAGAAAGUGACGGUACCUGAGGAAUAAGCCACGGCUAACUACGUGCCAGCAGCCGCGGUAAUACGUAGGUGGCAAGCGUUAUCCGGAUUUAUUGGGUGUAAAGGGCGUGUAGGCGGGAGCGCAAGUCAGAUGUGAAAACUCAGGGCUCAACCCUGAGCCUGCAUUUGAAACUGUGUUUCUUGAGUACUGGAGAGGCAGACGGAAUUCCUAGUGUAGCGGUGAAAUGCGUAGAUAUUAGGAGGAACACCAGUGGCGAAGGCGGUCUGCUGGACAGCAACUGACGCUGAGGCGCGAAAGCGUGGGGAGCAAACAGGAUUAGAUACCCCUGUAGUC
rnacentral:rRNA from 1 species